GAUGAACGCUAGCGGCAGGCCUAAUACAUGCAAGUCAAGGGGGCAGCAAUGUCACCGGCGGACGGGUGCGUAACGCGUACACAACAUACCUUUAAGCGGGGGAUAGCAUUGGGAAACUGGUGGUAAUACCCCAUAACAUUGCGAGGUGGCAUUACUUUGCAAUUAAAGUUACGGCGCUUAGAGAUUGGUGUGCGUCUGAUUAGCUAGUUGGCGGGGUAAAGCCCACCAAGGCGACGANCAGGUAGGGGGUGUGAGAGCAUGACCCCCCACAUGGUACGU
rnacentral:rRNA from 1 species